ensembl:lncRNA
GGCCAUGAUGGACAGAAAGGAGAACGAGGUCCUUCUGGGCCAGUAGGCCCCUCUGGACCUCAAGGACCACCUGGAGUACCUGGCAGCAUUGGUCCUCCUGGACAGGUGCAUGUGAUGCAGAAACAUUUAAAAAAAUUUAAAUGACGGUUUGUCACUUAUAAUCCCUGCAGUGAUUACUAAUCUGUUUCUGUCAGGUUGUGUAUGUAAAAGGAGUUGAAGCAGCACCAAUCCCAGGCCCACAGGGCCCCCCAGGAACCCCUGGUGUCCCUGGGAUACCAGGAACUGUGGGAGCCAGAGGAGAGAGAGGUCUUCCUGGCCUUAAAGGUGAAGCUGUAAGUUAAACUUAUUGUUUUUAUUGUGGUAAAUAUGUGAUGUCACUGAGAUUUCAUGUGAUUACUGAUGCUUCUUAUUGGCAGGGAGACCCAGGAGAGGACGGGCUGCCUGGCAAACCUGGCACAGCUGUGGUAAGAUAUCGGCACGUCGCAUCAACUGUUUUUCUGCAGGUCUGAAUAAUGUUUGUGUGGUUCUCCUUCCAGGAUGUGCAAAAGGCUCUGGCUAGCAUGGGGAUUCAGAUGUCUGAUCUGAAGGUGGUUGUGGACAGGAGGGACAUAAGUCAAGCUCCUCCAGUGCAGAAGGGGGAGAGAGGUGAUAAGGGAGACAGGGGGGAAGCAGGACAGAGAGGACCAGCUGGUGCAGAUGUAAGUAUUAUUAAAAGCAUCUUAUAGAGUCAUUAAAAGCUAUUUGACAUAUACUCUUCAGCACUUUAAUUCUAAUGUGUAUUACAUUGCAUAUCAACUUAUUGAAUACCUGUAAAUAACAAUAUAUAUCCAUGUUAUUUCUUGUUGACUGCUAGGGCGCUCGUGGUGUUUCAGGAGAGAGGGGCGCAAAAGGGGAACAAGGGGAACGAGGACCCAUAGGAUCAACUGGGCCUCCUGGAAGAGCCAUUGGAGAACGUGGACCAGAGGGACCCCCUGGACCUGCUGGAGAGCCUGGCAAGCCAGGAAUACCAGGUGUUCCUGGACGAGCUGGGGAGCUUGGAGAAGUUGGAAGACCAGGAGACAAGGUGAACUAAAAAGUUGUUAAGAGCUGUGACUGAAAAGAUUUCUGAGAGAGUCAGAGCAACUUAUAUCUAAUACUAAUAUUUGUGUUUUAGGGGGAGAGAGGAGAAAAAGGUGACAAGGGCGAAGCUGUAAGUGUCUACAUUUUUUUAGCUGACUAAUAUUAGUUUUAGAAUGAUUUACUAAAACUUUCUUUUUUUUAGGGUAAAAGUGGGCUAACAGGACCUGCUGGGCCACCAGGUCAAAAGGUGACCUCCUUGUCUUACUGAUGCAGUUAAGCCCUUAUGGCGUUUAAUAGAUGUUGUAUAUAUAGUUCAGAGAGUUAAAAGACGUGUGCCUAUGUACUGUAGGGACAAUCUGCUGAUUCAAUACUUGUCGGUGCACCCGGUGAAAGAGGGCUUCCAGGACUUGCAGGAUCAAAAGGAGAGCCUGGUGCUGCAGGGCUACCUGGACCUAAAGGAGACCGUGUAAGUGUUACUCAUAGAGUAAACUACAUCACAUAUCAACAGCAUUCAUUGAUUUCUCAAGACAAAUAAGUUGUUUUUUUCCUCACAGGGUUUUGUGGGCCCUCAAGGUAACAAAGGAGAUAAAGGAGAGUCUGGAGAAAAAGGACGAGAUGGUUCAUCGGUGAGGUGGCUUAGUUUGUUAGCAUAUGCUGAAGUAAAUUCUUUUUUUGCUGCUAUAUUAAGUAACAUUGGCAAAUACAUUUUGAGAAUUAGCUUAUAAAAUGUAUCUCAUUCAUUUUUGUGCUUGAAAUUAACCUGCAAUAGACACUCACCAUGUUGUGACCUCACCUAAAAUUAUGACAUCUCUUAGAAAAGACAAUACUGUAUGUGGUUUGUAAUUUUAGGGAAUACCAGGAGAACCGGGCAAACCUGGUCAGGAUGGGAAGCCGGUAAGUGGAGAGGAAGGAAGGGAUAUACUGCUUAAAAUGAUUGAUAUUUUUAUGCUUAAUCUUUUUAAAUUGUCAUGUUUCAUUGCAACAUUGUAGUGAAACUUUCCUGCAGGAGGCUUAGUAAGUAUGUAUUUUAAGUGUCAAAUGAGGUUUUAAUAAACUUAGCUUACAGACAGAAAGUUUCA